rnacentral:ncRNA from 1 species
CUCUAAUAUAAAUACUUAACUAAGCAAUUAUUAUUGCAGGGAAGCUUGUGAAAAUCAGGCACAGUACCCGCUACUGUAAUCGUUAGAAAUACUUUAUUUUUGUCAUUCGCUAAGAAGAAGGCUUAAGUAUUUUGCUAAACGUAAGUCAGGAUAUCUGGAUAAUAACGCUAACUAAC